GAUGAACGCUGGCGGCGUGCCUAAUACAUGCAAGUCGAGCGAACAGACGAGGAGCUUGCUCCUCUGACGUUAGCGGCGGACGGGUGAGUAACACGUGGAUAACCUACCUAUAAGACUGGGAUAACUUCGGGAAACCGGAGCUAAUACCGGAUAAUAUAUUGAACCGCAUGGUUCAAUAGUGAAAGACGGUUUUGCUGUCACUUAUAGAUGGAUCCGCGCCACAUUAGCUAGUUGGUAAGGUAACGGCUUACCAAGGCAACGAUGCGUAGCCGACCUGAGAGAGUGAUCGCCCACACUGGAACUGAGACACGGUCCAGACUCCUACGGGAGGCAGCAGUAGGGAAUCUUCCGCAAUGGGCGAAAGCCUGACGGAGCAACGCCGCGUGAGUGAUGAAGGUCUUCGGAUCGUAAAACUCUGUUAUUAGGGAAGAACAAAUGUGUAAGUAACUAUGCACGUCUUGACGGUACCUAAUCAGAAAGCCACGGCUAACUACGUG
rnacentral:rRNA from 1 species